rnacentral:rRNA from 1 species
UUUUAUGGAGAGUUUGAUCCUGGCUCAGAGUGAACGCUGGCGGCGUGCCUAAUACAUGCAAGUCGAACGAUGAAGCUUCUAGCUUGCUAGAAGUGGAUUAGUGGCGCACGGGUGAGUAACGCAUAGGUCAUGUGCCUCUUAGUUUGGGAUAGCCAUUGGAAACGAUGAUUAAUACCAGAUACUCCCUACGGGGGAAAGAUUUAUCGCUAAGAGAUCAGCCUAUGUCCUAUCAGCUUGUUGGUAAGGUAAUGGCUUACCAAGGCUAUGACGGGUAUCCGGCCUGAGAGGGUGAACGGACACACUGGAACUGAGACACGGUCCAGACUCCUACGGGAGGCAGCAGUAGGGAAUAUUGCUCAAUGGGGGAAACCCUGAAGCAGCAACGCCGCGUGGAGGAUGAAGGUUUUAGGAUUGUAAACUCCUUUUGUUAGAGAAGAUAAUGACGGUAUCUAACGAAUAAGCACCGGCUAACUCCGUGCCAGCAGCCGCGGUAAUACGGAGGGUGCAAGCGUUACUCGGAAUCACUGGGCGUAAAGAGCGCGUAGGCGGGAUAGUCAGUCAGGUGUGAAAUCCUAUGGCUUAACCAUAGAACUGCAUUUGAAACUACUAUUCUAGAGUGUGGGAGAGGUAGGUGGAAUUCUUGGUGUAGGGGUAAAAUCCGUAGAGAUCAAGAGGAAUACUCAUUGCGAAGGCGACCUGCUGGAACAUUACUGACGCUGAUUGCGCGAAAGCGUGGGGAGCAAACAGGAUUAGAUACCCUGGUAGUCCACGCCCUAAACGAUGGAUGCUAGUUGUUGGAGGGCUUAGUCUCUCCAGUAAUGCAGCUAACGCAUUAAGCAUCCCGCCUGGGGAGUACGGUCGCAAGAUUAAAACUCAAAGGAAUAGACGGGGACCCGCACAAGCGGUGGAGCAUGUGGUUUAAUUCGAAGAUACACGAAGAACCUUACCUAGGCUUGACAUUGAGAGAAUCCGCUAGAAAUAGUGGAAUGUCUAGCUUGCUAGACCUUGAAAACAGGUGCUGCACGGCUGUCGUCAGCUCGUGUCGUGAGAUGUUGGGUUAAGUCCCGCAACGAGCGCAACCCCCUUUCUUAGUUGCUAACAGGUCAUGCUGAGAACUCUAAGGAUACUGUCUCCGUAAGGAGGAGGAAGGUGGGGACGACGUCAAGUCAUCAUGGCCCUUACGCCUAGGGCUACACACGUGCUACAAUGGGGUGCACAAAGAGAAGCAAUACUGCGAAGUGGAGCCAAUCUUCAAAACGCCUCUCAGUUCGGAUUGUAGGCUGCAACUCGCCUGCAUGAAGCUGGAAUCGCUAGUAAUCGCAAAUCAGCCAUGUUGCGGUGAAUACGUUCCCGGGUCUUGUACUCACCGCCCGUCACACCAUGGGAGUUGUGUUUGCCUUAAGUCAGGAUGCUAAAUUAGCUACUGCCCACGGCACACACAGCGACUGGGGUGAAGUCGUAACAAGGUAACCGUAGGUGAACCUGCGGUUGGAUCACCUCCUUUCUA